CUCACUUGUCAGCCUCCUGGCUAAGAUCAAGUGUGGUAUCUGUUCUUAUCAGUUUAAUAUCUGAUACAUGCUUGAUGAGAGGACAUAAAGAUUAUUUCUUGCCCAGAGAAAUUGUGGCUGCCCCAUCCCUGGAAGUUUUCAAGGCCAGGCUGGAUGAGGCUUUAAGCAAGCUGAUCCAA
rnacentral:snRNA from 1 species